UACGUAGGGUGCAAGCGUUGUCCGGAAUUAUUGGGCGUAAAGAGCUCGUAGGCGGUCUGUCGCGUCUGCUGUGAAAAUCAGGGCUCAACCCUGGACCUGCAGUGGGUACGGGCAGACUAGAGUGCGGUAGGGGAGAUCGGAAUUCCUGGUGUAGCGGUGAAAUGCGCAGAUAUCAGGAGGAACACCGGUGGCGAAGGCGGACUCUGGGCCGUAACUGACGCUGAGGAGCGAAAGCAUGGGGAGCGAACAGG
rnacentral:rRNA from 1 species